UGGAAUUCUUAUUCAGGCACCGCCAAGGGCACCUUGGGUCUUCGAAGGCGGCUUGUAGAUAGCUGGGGUCCUUGCCUGCGUUGUUUUUCAGGCAGCCCCAUAGACAGCAGGGCUGGGGGGCUUUGCUGCCACUACUGAUCAGGUUGCCGCCGCUGGUGGAGAUGUUGCGAGCGCGCGCUGCUGUCGCGCCUGUCCCCGGGAUGGGGAUGGGGGUGGGGCUCGGGGGUGGUGGCUCUGAUACACUGGCUGGCUGCUUGUAAUGGGCAAAGAGGCGAUUCGCGGGGAGCAGGCUGGUGGGGGCUGCGCCCUGGGGCGUCUCCUGUCCCUAGGAGAAGCGGGCACUUUAGAUUUCUACGUGGACUGGCUCAGGAAAAGGCAUUUGAGGGGUCCUAGAGCUACGACUUCACCCAGGAUUCUGCCCAAAUUGAAGCAUCUUGUCUUGAAAACGAAUGGAAGAUAAUACAUGUUCAUCUCCAUCACUUUGCUUCUGUAUCUGAUCUUACCACGUGCUUUGUCUCUUCAAGCUUUAAAAGAUCUUACUUCCAUAUCUGCAACAUCCUCCCAAGGAUGUGAAUAGAUCACUUCAUCUUAUUGCUGUUAGCUUCAUGGAUCUGCAUAUGGUUCAGUGCUCAGAGCUUUUUCAAACAGUGGCCUGGAAUAAGAGCAGAAUUUUGGUAGCUUUUACUGUUGCUAUUCAGAAUCUGAUCCCAUAUGUAGCAGUGGAACUGACAAGAACUAUGUCACUUUAACCCUGCUACUUGGAAAAAUCCUGAGUGGCAGCAAAAGAAACUACGGGAGAGGGAAAUUCAGAGUAUGAAGGAAGGUGGAGGAUAGACUAGUAGAACAACUUUAAGGUUAGGGGCUGGUAGAGGGAAUGCUCCUUCUUUUGCAGGGGGAAUAUAUGGGGAGGGAGCUUCAAAACUGUCAGACACCUACUAGCAAGCAGCUGACAUAAAAGAUGGAGCCCUUGAGUAGGGUAAAGGGACAACACCAUGGUAGGCAGCAAGUUGGGAAGGGUAGUUGGCUUUUCACUAGGUCAUUAAGUUGGUCAGUGAGCUUCCUUCUGUCUUUUUAUUUUGGACUCUGUCUACUGAGUUUAAUCUUUUGACUAGUUGGUAUCUGGUAAAUUUUUCAAACCCUGCUUUAGAACUUCAUCCCAUUUCUUUAACAUCACUUACUCAGUAUUCACUGUAUUUCCCACUUUUCUGAUGGGGAAACUGAGGCACUAAGAUCAUAAUCAAGCUCUAUCUUCUGUGGCACUGUAACUAAAUCUUAUAGCAGGAAUCACAAAUUAUGCUUCAGUAUUAAUUUACUCUAUAAUCAUGGAAUACUCUUCAUUCCUAUGGCUAACUGAAUGUAAAUUUAAUGAUUAUUUUCAAUUAUGGUUUUUUUAAAAUGCACUGUCAAGGUUGUCCAUCUUCCUGGGCUUCUGUUGUACUAAAGUACAUGCAAAUUGCUUCACAUGAAUCUUUUUCUUAUGUUUUUUUUUCUGUAGUGAAUUAUAAAUUGAACAAGUCAGCACUGGUGCAGUGACAACGUAUUAACUAUUUUGUAGUAAUAAAGAGAAUUUUUUAAGAGCUACUUAACUUAUUCUGCUCCUGGUAAUGCUGGUUGGGCCUCAACUCAUGUACAAUGAAUGUUCAGGAUAUUGACUACUAAAACUUUGGAGGAGAAAAGAACAAGAAAGGUACAGUAAAUAGAACAAGACCAAUAGGAAUACCGCAUUGUUGAAAUUAGGAAUUUUUCCCCAGUUCACAUUGCAGUGAUCUAGUUAAUAUUUGCUGAUACACACAUCUAUAUAUCCACUUCCAUAUUUACUCAACAAAUCUACCUUGACUAUAGCCACCUGUAAUUCUUCCUGUUAAGUUGGCCUCUUAUUCCUCUGUAUGCAGUUACCAAACAGUUUCAUAGCUAUGAGUCAGUAAACCCAGUUUAACUCGAGUGCCCACCCUGAAAAUAUGCACUAUUAGAAAAUGCUACAUAUUGUCCCAUUAUUUGUGUCACUGGAGCACUUAGAGACUCAUGUCAAGAUUAGGAUCAUCGUACUGGCAUUUUACAGAUCUGUAGUGAUAGGCGGUCUCUGCCCUGAAGAUAUGAUGAUCUAAAUAUCUAAGUAUAUUUUGGACAGUGCAUCCUAAUGUAGAUGACUGGUUCCUAGGCAUGAGGGGGCAGAGUUGAGAUGUUUCUGGAGCCUUAUCUCUCUAUAUCCUGACUUUCACACAUGCUUGUUUUUUAAUAACUGUGGUCUAAUAAUGACAUGAUGUAUCCAAGGCUUUAGGGUGAUUCUUAAAACACUGUUAGUGUCUGUCUAAAUUGUAAAAACAAAAUCAUGCUUUAAUUAUGUUGAGAUGACAGUGUAACUGAAUCCUCUGACAAUUCAAUGUAUAGCGCAGACAGGAUCGUGAAAGAUAUUUAAGGGUUAGUUUCAGAAUGUCACAAAUUGUGAUAUCACAAAGUGCUUGCUGGAAUUUGUGUUGAUUUGUGACUAUUAAAACUGCUAAUAAGACAA